UAUUAUUUUAGAUGUAAAAUAUAUAAACUUGAGUAGUAGUAGAAUAAGGUCUUGAAACUUAAAGAAUUUGGCGGUAUUUUAGUCUAUUUAGAGGAAUCUGUCCCAUAAUCGAUAAUCCGCGUUGGACCUUACUUAGAUUAUAUGAAUAUGUAUACCGCUGUUGUUGAAAAUCUUUUUAGAGAUAAUUUUUUAAAAAUUUGUUAAAUAAUUUUUCAGGUCAAGGUGCAGUUUAUAUUUAAGAGGAGAUGGAUUACAAUAUUUAUUGAAUAUACGGAGUAUUGUUUGAAAAUUAACAAUAUAAAGGUGGAUUUAAUAGUAAUAUUAUGAAGAUUGUUAAUAUGAUUAUAGCUCUAAGAUAUGUACACAUCGCCCGUCGCUCUCGUUAUAUUUAAGGUGAG
rnacentral:rRNA from 1 species